rnacentral:rRNA from 1 species
GAUUAACGCUAGCGGCAGGCAUAAUACAUGCAAGUUGAACGGCAGCACAGGUAGCACUCCUGGGUGGCGAGUGGCGCACGGGUGCGUAACACGUAUGCAACCUACCCUAUACAGGCGAAUAACCUUUAGAAAUGAGGACUAAUACGCCGUAGUAUUACAGAUGGGCAUCUAUUUGUAAUUAAAGAUUUAUCGGUAUAGGAUGGGCAUGCGUCCCAUUAGUUAGUUGGUAAGGUAACGGCUUACCAAGACGAUGAUGGGUAGGGGAUCUGAGAGGACUUACCCCCACACUGGUACUGAGACACGGACCAGACUCCUACGGGAGGCAGCAGUAAGGAAUAUUGGGCAAUGGCCGCGAGGCUGACCCAGCCAUGCCGCGUGCAGGAAGACGGCCUUAUGGGUUGUAAACUGCUUUUAUACGGGAAUAAUAGAGUGUACGCGUACAUUUAUGCAAGUAUCGUAUGAAUAAGCAUCGGCUAACUCCGUG